rnacentral:rRNA from 1 species
UGUGAACUCGAAGAGUAGGGCGGGACACGUGGUAUCCUGUCUGAAUAUGGGGGGACCAUCCUCCAAGGCUAAAUACUCCUGACUGACCGAUAGUGAACCAGUACCGUGAGGGAAAGGCGAAAAGAACCCCGGCGAGGGGAGUGAAAAAGAACCUGAAACCGUGUACGUACAAGCAGUGGGAGCACCUUUAUGGUGUGACUGCGUACCUUUUGUAUAAUGGGUCAGCGACUUAUAUUCUGUAGCAAGGUUAACCGUAUAGGGGAGCCGCAGGGAAACCGAGUCUUAACUGGGCGUUAAGUUGCAGGGUAUAGACCCGAAACCCGGU